rnacentral:ncRNA from 1 species
UUAUUGGAGAGUUUGAUCCUGGCUCAGGACGAACGCUGGCGGCGUGCCUAACACAUGCAAGUCGAACGGGGAGCAUAGCAAUAUGCUCCUAGUGGCGAACGGGUGAGUAACGCGUAGACAACCUACCUUCUAGAUGGGGAUAACACCGCGAAAGUGGUGCUAAUACCGAAUGUGUCAACUUGGGCGCAUGCCCAGGUUGAGAAAGGUGGCCUCUUAACAAUGCUACCGCUAGAAGAUGGGUCUGCGUCUGAUUAGCUAGUUGGUAGGGUAACGGCCUACCAAGGCGACGAUCAGUAGCCGGUCUGAGAGGAUGGACGGCCACACUGGGACUGAGACACGGCCCAGACUCCUACGGGAGGCAGCAGUGGGGAAUCUUCCGCAAUGGGCGAAAGCCUGACGGAGCAACGCCGCGUGGGUGAAGAAGGCCUUCGGGUCGUAAAGCCCUGUCAACCGGGACGAAGUUUACUUUUGCGAAUAGUAGAAGUAAGUGACGGUACCGGAGGAGGAAGCCACGGCUAACUACGUGCCAGCAGCCGCGGUAA